UCUUGUAGCGUUAGAAAUCCCAGUUGUUUCUUUAGAUUUUCUGAACUUGGUUUUUUUCUGUAAAAUAUUUCAUGAAAAAAAUGAUACGAGUAAGGAAAUUUAACAGUAAAAGAAGAAAAGGAAAAGAAUAUGAUUUAUUAUUAUACACAAAGAAAUAUCGAGUCGAAGGACAGAGUUAAUGGUUUUAUGCUAGAUCGUCUUUUAUCACAAGCAGAGCCUUCAAGGGCCAUCUCCCCUGCAAGAACUUGAGAUUAAUGACUAGUAUAGCAGUGAGUGAAGAGUACCCUCCCAGCGAGUCAAUUCUUGAGUUGAGAUCUAGUUGAGCCAGCGGAAGAUUCGACCUCUGGGAAUAUAAUUUUUUAUUGAACAUUAGAACAGUAACUCAGCCCCUCAAAACUUUCUGUUCAGACACCGCCACUGCCCACCGAGCUCUCUUCCUUUACCUGGUUUCUUCACGAAGAAGACGAAUGAUCCUGUUGUUGUUGAUGCAAGUAGUGAGAUCAUGAAGCUUUUAGGGCUUAGUUCGUAGUUUGAUUUUGUUUUUUUCUUUUUUGGGGUCGUGAAGCUGUUGCUGCUGGUGGAUGAGAUUUCGAGGUUGAAGAUUAUUAAAUACAGUUAACCGAUUAUGCUAGCAACUAAAAUAACUGAAAGUUGGUUUAAUUAUUUAUAUAAAUAAUGAAAAUGAUUAAUAUAUUUUUAAUUGUUUAAUAACAAUCAUUG
rnacentral:lncRNA from 1 species